UGCAGUCGAGCGGUAACAUUCCAAAAGCUUGCUUUUGAAGAUGACGAGCGGCGGACGGGUGAGUAAUGCCUGGGAACAUGCCUUGGUGUGGGGGAUAACCAUUGGAAACGAUGGCUAAUACCGCAUAACGUCUACGGACCAAAGAGGGGGACCUUCGGGCCUCUCGCGCCAAGAUUGGCCCAGGUGGGAUUAGCUAGUAGGUGGGGUAACGGCUCACCUAG
rnacentral:rRNA from 1 species